rnacentral:tRNA from 1 species
GGGUAUGGUGUUUGUGCUCUGCAAAGGCAUAGUAGAUCUUUUUGGAUCCGUAUCUU